rnacentral:rRNA from 1 species
GAUGAACGCUAGCGGCAGGCCUAACACAUGCAAGUCGAGGGGUAACAGGGAGCUUGCUCCGCUGACGACCGGCGCACGGGUGCGUAACGCGUAUACAAUCUACCUUUUGCUGCGGAAUAGCCCAGAGAAAUUUGGAUUAACACCGCAUAGUAUUAUUGAGUGGCAUCAUUUGAUAAUUAAAGGUUACGGCAAGAGAUGAGUAUGCGUUCUAUUAGCUAGAUGGUGUGGUAACGGCAUACCAUGGCAACGAUAGAUAGGGGCCCUGAGAGGGGGAUCCCCCACACUGGUACUGAGACACGGACCAGACUCCUACGGGAGGCAGCAGUGAGGAAUAUUGGACAAUGGGCGAGAGCCUG